GCCGACGUGGCUCGAUUGAGAAAGGCGCCCGUCCCGUAAACGGGUUCAUGCUGGUGCAAAUCCAGUCGUCGGCU
rnacentral:tRNA from 1 species